AAUUUCCACUGCCUGGAAAGCAAGAGGCAACGGAGAAAGAGAUGGCAGCGACGAGCUCAGCAGAGGCACCGAAGAUUGUGUGGAACGAGCGGCAGAAGAGGUUCGAGACGGAAGACAAACAAGCCUACUUACAGUACGUGCCAAGAUCGAAUGGGAAAGUGAUGGACAUAGUGCACACCUAUGUUCCAUCCUCCAAGCGAGGCAUGGGCUUGGCUUCUCAUCUCUGCAUCGCAGCCUUCAAUCACGCCAAAUCUCGCUCCAUCUCCGUCAUUCCCACAUGCACUUAUGUCUCCGAUACAUUUCUUCCUCGAAACCCGUCGUGGAAUUCUCUUGUUUAUUCAGAAGAUCUAAAAUCUAAUAUCUAAACAGUUUCAGCAGUCAACAUAAUGAAGGCUGUCACUUACCUCUUCAGUUGCUUUCAUUAACUGAUUAGAGGACUCAAUUCCUAAAGCAUGCACCUCAAUUGUCUCUAGAAUGAAAAUUUGGAGGCAGAUCUUUGGAGCUUAGGCAGCUUGAUGCGACUGGAAGAAAAAGGAUGUGUUUCCAGAGGGUACAGAGGCAUAAUGGCUAGUAGAGGAUGAUGCUGGUGGUGAACAGGGUCUCGGUAUUAUAUAUUUUCUCUUAAUGAAUCUGCACAUUGUUUUUUGUUUUCACUUUGAAAAGGAAGUUUGUUGGUUUUCACAAAUGUGAUGGAUGUGGGGAAUUUUAAAUUAGGUUUCAUGAAUUUGCUAAAGAACAUGGCUUAGCAUGGAGGGUUUCAUGUUCAUACUCGCCUAUUUCUAUGGCGCGAACUAUACUGAUUUAUACUUCUCCUAUUUUUACCGUGGAAGCUCUUCAGACAACCAUUCAUUUUCUCAAAA